rnacentral:lncRNA from 10 species
GGAGUAGAGUCACAUGACUGCUUGCUGGUCUGUGAGCCUGUUACCAGAUAUCUUUUCUGCCACAUCAAGGUGGAUGGAGUGACUUUCCAUCAAGUGCGUGGGACUGCUUACUACCAGUUUCAUUCCUGCAGAAACCACAAUAAAGGGACGUGCCCUCAGUUGCCCUGUCUCCCUCUGCCUCAUGACUGACCGCGGUGCAUGACCUGAGUGGCCUUGUGUGGCCUGCUGCUUUCUCCCCAGUGAACUGUGAAUUACUAAUUGAGGCAUAUUUUGUGACUAUGGCAG